rnacentral:rRNA from 1 species
AGUGAACGCUGGCGGUAGGCCUAACACAUGCAAGUCGAACGGCAGCACAGUAAGAGCUUGCUCUUACGGGUGGCGAGUGGCGGACGGGUGAGGAAUACAUCGGAAUCUACUUUUUCGUGGGGGAUAACGUAGGGACAGUUACGAUAAUACCGCAUACGACCUACGGGAGAAAGCAGGAGAUCUUCGGAUCUUGCGCGAUUGAAUGAGCCGAUGUCGGAUUAGCUAGUUGGCGGGGUAAAGGCCCACCAAGGCGACGAUCCGUAGCUGGUCUGAGAGGAUGAUCAGCCACACUGGAACUGAGACACGGUCCAGACUCCUACGGGAGGCAGCAGUGGGGAAUAUUGGACAAUGGGCGCAAGCCUGAUCCAGCCAUGCCGCGUGUGUGAAGAAGGCCUUCGGGUUGUAAAGCCCUUUUAUUGGGGAAGAAAAGCAGCAGGUUAAUACCCCGCUGUUUUGACGUUACCCAAAGAAUAAGCACCGGCUAACUUCGUG